rnacentral:tRNA from 2 species
UGGAGAAUUAGCUCAGCUGGGAGAGCAUCUGCCUUACAAGCAGAGGGUCGGCGGUUCGAUCCCGUCAUUCUCCACCAU